UACGUAGGGUGCAAGCGUUAAUCGGAAUUACUGGGCGUAAAGAGUGUGUAGGCGGUGCUCUAAGUUCGGUGUGAAAUCUCCCGGCUUAACUGGGAGGGUGCGCCGGAAACUGGAGUGCUCGAACGUGGGAGAGGAAAGCGGAAUUCCUGGUGUAGCGGUGAAAUGCGUAGAUAUCAGGAGGAACACCUGCGGUGUAGACGGCUUUCUGGACCAUUGUUGACGCUGAGACACGAAAGCGUGGGUAGCAAACAGG
rnacentral:rRNA from 1 species